rnacentral:rRNA from 1 species
CCGGCGCACGGUGNGUAACACGUAUCCAACCUGCCGUCUACUCUUGGACAGCCUUCUGAAGGAAGAUUAAUACAAGAUGGCAUCAUGAGUCCGCAUGUUCACAUGAUUAAAGGUAUUCCGGUAGACGAUGGGGAUGCGUUCCAUUAGAUAGUAGGCGGGGUAACGGCCCACCUAGUCUUCGAUGGAUAGGGGUUCUGAGAGGAAGGUCCCCCACAUUGGAACUGAGACACGGUCCAAACUCCUACGGGAGGCAGCAUG